rnacentral:rRNA from 1 species
GACGAACGCUGGCGGCGUGCCUAAUACAUGCAAGUAGAACGCACAGUUUAUACCGUAGCUUGCUGCACCAUAGACUGUGAGUUGCGAACGGGUGAGUAACGCGUAGGUAACCUGCCUGGUAGCGGGGGAUAACUAUUGGAAACGAUAGCUAAUACCGCAUAAUAUUAAUUAUUGCAUGAUAAUUAAUUGAAAGGUGCAAUUGCACCACUACCAGAUGGACCUGCGUUGUAUUAGCUAGUAGGUGAGGUAACGGCUCACCUAGGCGACGAUACAUAGCCGACCUGAGAGGGUGAUCGGCCACACUGGGACUGAGACACGGCCCAGACUCCUACGGGAGGCAGCAGUAGGGAAUCUUCGGCAAUGGACGAAAGUCUGACCGAGCAACGCCGCGUGAGUGAAGAAGGUUUUCGGAUCGUAAAGCUCUGUUGUAAGAGAAGAACGGGUGUGAGAGUGGAAAGUUCACACUGUGACGGUAUCUUACCAGAAAGGGACGGCUAACUACGUG